CAGCCGCCGCGGGAACACGAAGGGGGCUAGCGUUGCUCGGAAUGACUGGGCGUAAAGGGCGCGCAGGCGGCUGACACAGUCAGAUGUGAAAUUCCUGGGCUCAACCUGGGGACUGCAUUUGAGACGUGUUGGCUUGAGUGGAGAAGAGGGUCGUGGAAUUUCCAGUGUAGAGGUGAAAUUCGUAGAUAUUGGAAAGAACACCGGUGGCGAAGGCGGCGACCUGGCCUUUAACUGACGCUGAGGCGCGAAAGCGUGGGGAGCAAACAGGAUUAGAUACCCGCGUAGUCCCUGUCUCUUAUAC
rnacentral:rRNA from 1 species